rnacentral:tRNA from 1 species
GCCGACGUAGCUCAACGGUAGAGCGUCUGAUUUGUAAUCAGGCGGUUGUCGGUUCGAUUCCGACCGUCGGCUCCA